rnacentral:tRNA from 1 species
GCCCCGAUAGUUAAACGGCCAUAACCGAUGAUUUGUAAUCAUCAGUUGAGGGUUCGAAUCCCUCUCGGGGCU